rnacentral:rRNA from 1 species
CAGUCGCCGCGGUAAUACGAAGGGUGCAAGCGUUAAUCGGAAUUACUGGGCGUAAAGCGUGCGUAGGCGGUGAGUUAAGUCUGCUGUGAAAUCCCCGGGCUCAACCUGGGAAUGGCAGUGGAUACUGGCUCGCUAGAGUGUGUCAGAGGAUGGUGGAAUUCCCGGUGUAGCGGUGAAAUGCGUAGAGAUCGGGAGGAACAUCAGUGGCGAAGGCGGCCAUCUGGGACAACACUGACGCUGAGGCACGAAAGCGUGGGGAGCAAACAGGAUUAGAUACCCCAGUAGUCCCUGUCUCUUAUAU